CCUCAUCAAGGAAACUUUUCUUUGCAGCAGACAGAGACCACUGCAGAAAACCACAACCAUUCAAAAUACUGAGUUCUGGAGCCCAGUCCCAGCGGAUACAUCUACUGUACAAUUCCCCCGCCUAAGUGUCAGAUAUCACUUCGGAAGAGGUGUCAGAAAGAUGGUAAUAGCCGGAGGAACAUAUUCACGUUGGCCCAUGACUGUGAAGAUGGUAUACUCAGAGUUAUGUGAAGAUUAUUUUUAAGCACCUUUGCCCCCAGAUCAGCCUGAGUUUCCUGGCCUGCGUUCUUCUUUUUGGUGUCACUUUCUUUUUUUCUGGACAGGUCAGUGACUUGCUCAACCAUCAUUAGAGAAGCUUCCUCCUGCAGUAAAUGGAAACAAAUACAGAGACCCACUGCCGGACAGUUUGCAAAGAAUGAGAAACUUUGGAACACCCAAUCGUUAAUGGGAUGCCCUCAUUAAAUUCCUCUCUCAAAGCUCAGGGAAACAUGCAGAAGAGGAGGCAGAAAGACUCCAGGAGCCAUAGGGAGUGGAGGACACCAAGGAAACAACGUGACCCAUGUCCAUAUGAACUCAUGGAGACUGAGGCAGCCUGCACUGGUCCUGCACAGGUCUGUGCCGGACAGGGUCCCAUCGCUGAGAGAAGUGGACACAUGCUCCUAUCCCUAACACAGAAGCUAUCUCUAAUUGAUAACCACUCGCAAAUGAAAAAUUAGUCCUGUUCAACAGAGUCCCACUGGGGAUAGAAAUGACUCAUUAUAAGGGCAGGCCCCAUGCCCAGCAGUAAUUCGCCAACAUUAAACCAGCUCUGUGGUGUCUUUGGA